rnacentral:rRNA from 1 species
AGCAGUCGCCACGGUAAUACGAAGGGGGCAAGCGUUGUUCGGAAUUAUUGGGCGUAAAGGGUGCGUAGGCGGUUUGAUAAGACAGAUGUGAAAUCCCCGGGCUUAACCUGGGAACUGCAUUUGUGACUGGCGAGCUAGAGUAUGGCAGAGGGGGGUAGAAUUCCACGUGUAGCAGUGAAAUGCGUAGAGAUGUGGAGGAAUACCGAUGGCGAAGGCAGCCCCCUGGGCCAAUACUGACGCUCAUGCACGAAAGCGUGGGGAGCAAACAGGAUUAGAUACCCGAGUAGUCCCUGUCUCUUAUAA